AUAUCUUCACCAUGUAUUCCUAUGGCUACCCGCAUGUACAAAUGCUGUGGCCUCUCCAACACACGCCCGUUGAUUUUUAGUAGAUAAGAACGUUCAAGAGUUUUGUAACCAAAUGGUAUAGAGGUCGUGAAUAGUAUCUGCAAGAAAAAGUACACAUUUAUACACGUUGGCUUACGUAAUUUUACAGAAACUCUAGCUAAUUCCUUAAGCCGAGGAUUUUAUGUACAUUCGACUACAUAUACACACCAAAAUAAAAACCGUUUGGGAUUUUAAAUGCAAUUACUUUCAAGGAGUGUUAAAUGAAUAAGUAUGUUUAGUACAUAGGUUAAUUUAACGUGCAGAAGAUUUUUCCGUUGAAUAAGUUCUGAGAACGAAACCUGUCGCACUUUUGAGGGUCAUAAUUUGAGCAUUCACUCGCCUACAUUUCACCCGAUAUCAAAUAUGGAGUUCAAUGAAAGUUUAUGCUGGUGCAAAAUUCGGUACUCCUAGGAUGAAC